rnacentral:rRNA from 1 species
UACGUAGGGGGCUAGCGUUGUCCGGAAUCAUUGGGCGUAAAGAGCGCGUAGGCGGCCAGAUAAGUCCGGUGUGAAAGCCCCCGGCUCAACUGGGGAGGGUCACGCGAUACUGAUCGACUCGAAGGCAGGAGAGGGUAGUGGAAUUCCCGGUGUAGUGGUGAAAUGCGUAGAUAUCGGGAGGAACACCAGUGGCGAAGGCGACUACCUGGCCUGUUUCUUGACGCUGAGGCGCGAAAGCUAGGGGAGCAACGGG